rnacentral:rRNA from 1 species
UGGGGAAUAUUGGACAAUGGGGGCAACCCUGAUCCAGCAAUGCCGCGUGUGUGAAGAAGGCCUGCGGGUUGUAAAGCACUUUCAGUAGAGAAGAAAAGCUUACGGUUAAUACCCGUGAGUCUUGACGUAACCUACAGAAGAAGCACCGGCUAACUCCGUGCCAGCAGCCGCGGUAAUUCGGAGGGUGCGAGCGUUAAUCGGAAUUAUUGGGCGUAAAGCGUCCGUAGGCGGUUUAUCAAGUCAGUUGUUAAAGACUGCAGCUCAACUGUGGGGGAGCAACUGAAACUGAUGAACUAGAGAGCGGUAGGGGUAGAGGGAAUUCCCAGUGUAGCGGUGAAAUGCGUAGAUAUUGGGAAGAACACCAGUGGCGAAGGCGCUCUACUGGGCCGCGACUGACGCUGAUGGACGAAAGCUAGGGGAGCGAAUGGGAUUAGAUACCCCUGUAGUCC